UACCUGUAUGUGUAUGUGUCAAUAUAUGUGUGUGUGUAUACACACACACACACACACACAUAUACACACACACACACACACACACA
rnacentral:miRNA from 1 species